AAGUGCGCGCCGCGCGGAGGACGAAGAGGCCGCACGCACAGCCGCUGCCGGGGGUCGGGGCCAAGUGCGCACCUCGCCGAGGAAGAAGAGGCUGGCGUGCCCGGUGGCUCGGCUAGCUCCCGGGUCCCGGCCCCGCCUGGAGGGGUCUCUCUCUGUUGCCCAGGCUGGAGUACAGUGGCACAAUCUCGGCUCACUGCAGCCUCUACCUCUUAGGCUCAAGCAAUCCUCCCACUUCAGCCUCCUGCAUCGCUGGGACUACAGGAGCACACCACCAUGCCCGGCUAAGUUUUUGUAUUUUUUGUAAAGAAGCGGUUUAACCUUGUUGUCCAGGCUAGUCUUGAACUCCUAAGCUCAACUUUCCUCCCAACUUGGCCUCACAAAGUGCUGGGGUUACAGGCGUGAGCCACCACACUGGGCUAGAAUUCUGUAUUUUUAAAAUUAAUUAAUUAAUUAGUUUUUUAUAAAUAGAGAUGGGUCUCGCUGUGUUGCCCAGACUGGUCUUAAACUCCUGGGCUCAAGCAAUCCUCCCAUCUCAGCCUCCCAAAGUGGGAUUACAGGCAUGAACCACCACGCCUGGCCCAGAAUUCUGUAUUUUAAAGAAAAAAAAAGUUACUCAUAUCUGCAUGCCUACACAAUAUAUCUUUUGGUUUUCCUUAGUUUUGAACUUUUUUUUUUUUUUUGAGACAAAGUCUCACUCUGUCACCCAGGCUGGAGUGCAGUGGCAUUCUGCUCACUGCAACCUCUGCCUCCCAGGUUCAAGUGAUUCUCCUGCCUCAGCCUCCUGAGUAGCUGGGAUUGGGUCCAACCACCAUGCCCAGCUAAUUUUCUUAGUAGAGAUGGGGUUUCACCAUGUUGGCCAGGCUGGUCUUGAACUCCUGACCUCAGGUGAUUUGCCAGCCUCUGCCUCCCAAAGUGCUAGGAUUACAGGCAUGAGCCACCGCACCCGGCCAGUUUUGAACUUUUAUGAAGAGGGCAUCAUAGGAUUUGUUGUCCUUUGUUACUUGCUUUUUUCACUCAACCUAUUACUACAAUUCAUGUUUCAUAGUUAAUUCACUUUUCACUGCUGUAUACUAUUUUGUUGUGUAAAUAUACCACAGUUUGUUUAUUCAUCCUGAAGAUGGGCAUUUUUUUUUUUUUUUUUUUGAGAUGGAGUUUCUCUCUCGUGGCCCAGGCUGGAGUGCAAUAGCGCCAUCUUGGCUCACUGCAACCUCUGCCUCCCAGGUUCAAGUGAUUCUCCUGCCUCAGCCUCCUGAGUAGCUGGGAUUACAGGUAUGUGUCACCAUGCCCAGCUAAUUUUUUUUUUUUCUUUUGAGACGGAGUUUCGCUCUUGUUGCCCAGGCAGGUGUGCAAUGGCACAAUCUUGGCUCACUGCAACCUCUGCCUCCCGGGUUCAAGUGAUUCUCCUGCCUCAGCCUCCUGAGUAGCUGGGAUUAUAGGUGCCUGCCACCACUCCCGGCUUUUUGUAUUUUUAGUAGAAAUGGGGUUUCACCAUGUUUGCCAGGCUGGUCUCAAACUCCUGACCUUAGGUGAUCCACCCACCUCAGCCUCUGAAAAUGUUGGGAUUACAGGCGUGAGCCACUGCAUCCAACUAAUUUUUUAUUUUUAGUAGAGACAGGGUUUCACCAUGUUGGCCAGGUUGGUUUCUAACUCCUGACCUCAGCUGAUCUGCCUGUCUCGGCCUCCCAAAGUGCUAUUACAGGCGUGAGCCACCGUGCCCGGCCAUGGGCAUUUGGACUUCUAAUCUUUUGCUACCAUAAGCUUUAGAGCACUGAGCUAAUGUGCAAAAACAGCAAUCAUGUAGUUUUUAAAACUUAGUCUGGGGUUAAAGAAGUAUGUAAACAACUAUGUUUUCUUAAAGAUUUAUAGGAGCAUUGUGACUGGACCAAAGACAAGGAAGUUCCCAACCUCCUCGGACCCUCGCUGCUGCCCAGAUGUCUGCCAUGGGGUACUUCUUGGUCACACCCUCCUCCUCUUCCCUGCCCUUAACAUAGAAAGAGCCUAAGAUUGUACUGACUUAAAAUGGUACUUCAGAACGCUAGUACACCAUCCUCUCAGUCUUGCUGGCUUUCAGAAUAAAUCAGUAAACCUACUUUUUCUCCCACCAACGCCCCUAUCAGUUGGGAUCCUCUUACCUCGGCCUCCCAGGUAGCUGGAAGCACUCACCACCACACCCAGCUAAUUAAAAGAAAACAAUUUUUUGAGGCAGGGUCUCACUCUGUUGCCAUGCUGGAAUGCUGUGGCAUGACUCAUUGCUCACUGCAGCCUCAAACUCCUGGGCUCAAGCAAUCCUCCCACCUUAGCCUCCCAAGUAGCUAGGACUAACAGUGUGCACCACCAGACUCAGCUAAUUUCUUUUUGUUGUUGUUGUUUGAGACGGAGUCUUGCUCUGUUGCCCAGACUGGAGUGCAGUGAUGCGAUCUCGGCUCACUGCAAGCUCCGCCUCCUGAGUUCAUGCCAUUCUCCCGCCUCAGCCUCCUGAGUAGCUAGGACUACAGGCGCCUGCCACCACGCCCGGCUAAUUUUUUGUAUUUUUAGUAGAGACAGGGUUUUCACCGUGUUAGCCAGGAUGGUCUCGAUCUCCUGACCUCCUGAUCUGCCCGCCUCGGCCUCCCAAAGUGCUGGGAUUACAGGCGUGAGCCACCGCGCCCAGCCUAAUUUCUUUUUUUUAAAUUUUUAGUAGACACAAGAUCUUGCUAUGUUGCCAAGGCUGGUCUCGAACCUCUGAGCUCAGGCAGUCCUCCUGUCUCAGCCUCCCAAAGUGUUAGGAUUACAGGCAUGAACUACCAAACCCAGCUGAGUUUUUAAAAAUCUUAAUGAAUGCAUGGAUUUAAAUACGUUAGCUGUGUUUUAAUCAAUUAUAGUUAUUGAAAUUUAAAUUAUUCAUCUUUGGUUAGGGAGAACUUCUUCAAGUUGGUUGUUCUUCAGUCCUUUUGACACAAUUCCAAUAUGUGAGUCUUGGUGGCUCAUACCUGUAAUCCCAGCACUUUGGAAGGCUGAAUGGGGAAGACUGAUUGAGGCCAGGAGUUUAAGACCAGCCUGGUCAACAUGGCAAGAUCCGUAUGUCUAUUAAGAAAAAAAAAUAAAAAGCAAUUAUAGUAGGCUGUGAUAGCUUCCUUGCUGUCUGGUAUGAAAAGAUAUUUCUUUUCUUUUUUCUUUUUUUUUUUUUGAGAUGGAGUUUCACUCUCACUGCCCAGGCUGGAGUGCUAUGGUGCAGUCUCGGCUCACUGCAACCUCUGCCUCCCGGGUUCAAGCAAUUCUCCUGCCUCAGCCUCCCAAGUAGCUGGGAUUACGGGGGUGUGCCACCACGCCCAGCUAAGUUUUGUAUUUUUAGUAGAGAUGGGGUUUCCAUGUUGGUCAGGUUGGUCUCGAACUCCUGAUCUCAGGUGAUCCACCUGCCUCGGCCUCCCACAGUGCUGGGAUUACAGGCAUGAGCCACAGCACCUGGCCUGAAAAGAUAUUUCUAGACUCAUCUAGUAAAUGUUCUGCCCCAGAUCUGGAAUCAGACAGCUUUCCAAGGAGUCCUGAUUUCUCUUAGUAAGAAAUAAUAUUUAAAGACUACAGCUUGAGUACUUCGGAUACUUAUUGCUACUAAGUCAGUCAUUGUAGAUGUUUUCAGUGAAUAGUUAGUAAUUUUUUUUUUUUUGAGACAGAGUUUUGCUCUUGUUGCCCAGGCUGGAGUGCAAUGGCAUGAUCUCGGCUCACUGCAACCUCCGCCUCCCGGGUUCAAGUGAUUCUCCUGCCUCAGCCUUCCGAGUUGCUGGGAUUACAGGCAUGCGCCACCAUGCCCGGCUAAUUUUGUAUUGUUAGUAGAGACAGGGUUUCUCCAUGUUGGUCAGGCUGGUCUCCAACUCCUGACCUCAAGUGACCCGCCCACCUCGGCCUCCCAAAGUGUUGGAAUUACGGGCGUGAGCCACCAUGCCCAGCCAGUACUUUUUUUAAAAAUGGGAGUCUUGCUUUGUCAUCCAGGCUGGAUUGCAGUGGUGGUGUGAUCAUAGCCCAUUGCAGGCUCAAACUCCUAGGCUCAAGUGAUUUUCCCUCCUCAGGUCCCCCAGUAGCUGGGACUACAGGCACACACCACCAUGCUCAGCUAAUUUUUUAUUUUUUAGUAGAGAUGAGGUCUCACUAUGUUGCCCAGGCUCAUCUUGGACUCCUGGGCUCUAGCACUCCUCUUACCUUAGCCUCCCAAAGUGUUGGAAUUACAGGCAUAAGCCACUGUGCCCAGCCUAGUUAGUAAUUUUUUUUUUUUUUUUUGAGAUGGAGUCUUGCUCAUUCUCCAGGCUGGAGUGCAGUGGCACGAUCUCGACUCACUGCAACCUCUGCCUCCCAGGAUCAACCAAUUCCCCUGCCUCAGCCUGCUGAGUAGCUGGGACUAUGGGCACGCGCCACCACGCCCUGCUAAUUUUUUUGUAUUUUAGUAGAGACGGGGUUUCACCAUGUUGGCCAGGAUGGUCUCGAUCUCCUGACCUUGUCAUCUGCCUGCCUUGGCCUCCCAAAGUGCUGGGAUUACAGGCGUGAGCCACCGCGCCUGGCUGUAAUUUUUUUAAAAUACAAAAUGCAUCAGGAGUUCAUACUAAUGUUUCAUAUUCAAAUUUAGAAUUACAGGGUUUUUAAAUUUUUAUUUAUUUAUUAUUAUUAUUAUUAUUUUUGGGAUGGAGCCUCGCUUUGUUGCCCAGGCUCACUAUAACCUCUGCCUUCUGGGUUCAAGCAGUUCUCUGCCUCAGCCUCCUGAGUAGUUGGGAUUACAGGCACCUGCCACAAUGCCUGGCUAAUUUUUAUAUUUUCAGUAGAGACAGGGUUUCACCAUCUUGGCCAGGCUGGUUUUACACUCCUGACCUCGUGAUCCACCUGCCUUGGCCUCCCAAAGUGCAGGGAUUACAGGUGUGAGCCACCACGCCCAGCUAGAAUUACAGGGUUUUAACUUAACCUUAGUCACUUUACAUAUUUCUCCCAUGUCAAAAAUCUUGAUUUUCUUUUGAGGAAAUAGAAAAGUCCACUCUUAAAUUAAGUCCAUAUGGAGUCUCAAGGGACCCAAAUAAACAAAACAAUCUUAAAAAAGAGAAACAAAGGUAGAGGACUCAUACUUCCUGAUUUCAAAACUUACUACAAAGCUACAGUAAUCAAAACAGUGUGAUACUAGCAUGAAGACAGACAUAUAGGCCAGGUGUGGUGGCUCACGUCUGUAAUCCCAGCACUUUGGGAGGUGGAGGCAGGCGGAUCACCUGAGGUCGGGAGUUCAAGACCAGCCUAACUAACAUGGAGAAACCCCGUCUCUACUAAAAAUACAAAAUUAGCCGGGCAUGGUGGCCCAUGCCUGAAAUUCCAGCUACUUGGGAGGCUGAGGCAGGAGAAUCGCUUGAACCUGGGAGGUGGAGAUUACAGUGAGCCGAGAUUGAGCCAUUACACUGCAGCCUGGGCAGCAAGAGUGAAACUCUCUCCAAGAAAAAAAAAAAGACAGACAUAUGACCCAUAGUACAGAAUAGGGAGCCCAUAAAAAUAAAACCUUUCCAUAUACGGCUGAAUGAUUUUCAACAAGGGCGCCAAGACCAUUCACUGGGGGAAAGGACAAUCUUUUCAACAAAUGGUUUUGGGAAAACUGGGUAUCCACAUGCAGAAGAAUGAAGUUGACCCUUACCUAACACUAUAUACAAAAAUUAACUCAAAAUGGAUCAAAUGGCUGGACCUGGUGACUCACAUCAGUAAUUCCUGCACUUUGGGAAGCCAAGGCGGGAGGAUCACUUGAGCCCAGGAGUUUGAAACCAGCCUGGUCAACAUAGCGAGAUCCUAUCUCUACAAAAGAAAAAAAUUAGCCGGGCAUGGUGGUGCAUGCCUGUAGUCCCAGCUACUCAGGAGGUUGAGACGGAUCGCUUGAGCCCAGGAGUUCGAGUUCCCGGCAGUGAGCCGUGCCACUGUACUCCAGCCUAAGCGACAGAGUGUGACCUUGUCUCAAAAAAAUAAAGAACUGGGGCCGGGCGCGGUGGCUCACGCCUGUAAUCCCAGCACUUUGGGAGGCCAAGGCGGGCGGAUCACGAGGUCAGGAGACCGAGACCAUCCAGGCUAACACGGUGAAACCCCGUCUCUACUAAAAAUACAAAAAAAAAAAUUAGCCGGGCGCGGUGGCGGGCGCCUGUAGUCCAAACUAGUCAGGAGGCUGAGGCAGGAGAAUGGCGUGAACCCGGGAGGCGGAGCUUGCAGUGAGCCGAGAUCGCGCCACUGCACUCCAGCCUGGGUGACAGAGCGAGACUCCAUCUCAAAAAAAAAAAAAAAAAGACGAAGAGAUACCACUUCACACCCAUUAGGAUGGCUGUUAUCAGAAAAAUAAGGUAAGCUGUUGGCUGAGCAAUGUGGAGAUGUGGAGAACGUGGAGAAAUUCGAACACUUGUGAAUUGCUGGUGGGAAUGUAAAAUGGUGCAGUCGCUCUGGAAAGCAGUAGGGCGGUUCCUCAAAAAAAUUAAACCAUAAUUAACACAUGAUCCAGAAAUUUCGUAGUACUCAAAACUACUGAAAGCAGGAACUCAAAUUGAUAUCUGUACACCAGUGUUCAUAGCGGCAUUAUUCACAAUAGCCAAAAGGCGGAAACAACCCAAAUGUCCAUUGAUGCAUGACCAGCGUGAUAGUUAAUUUCGUGUGUCAACUUGAUCAGUCCAAGGAAUACCCGGAUAGCUGAUAGAAUAUUAUUUCUGGGUAUGUCUGUGAGAGUGUUUCUGGAAGAGGUUAGUAUUUCAAUCAGACUGAGUAAAAGGAUCCACGCUAUCCAACGUAGGUGGCCAUCAUCGAAUCCACUGGGGGCGCAAAUAGAACAAAAAGGUGGAGAAAAGGUGAAUUCUCUCCUUUCUUGAGCUGGGACAUCCAUCUCCUCAGACAUCAGAGCUCCUGGAGGCCUUCAGACUCCGAGACAUUACACCAUUGGCUCACCUGGUCCUCAGGUCUUUGGACUUGGAAUGAAUUACACCACUGGCUUUCCGGGUCUUCCAGCUUGCAGAUGGCAGAUUGUGGGACUUCUCAGCCUCCGUAACUUUGUCAUCCAAUUCCCAUAAUAAAUCGCCUCUUAUA